GAGCGCCGUAGCAAUACGGAGCGGCAGACGGGAGAGUAACACGUGGGAACGUGCCCUUUGGUUCGGAACAACCCAGGGAAACUUGGGCUAAUACCGGAUAAGCCCUUACGGGGUAAAGAUUUAUCGCCGAAGGAUCGGCCCGCGUCUGAUUAGCUAGUUGGUGGGGUAAUGGCCCACCAAGGCGACGAUCAGUAGCUGGUCUGAGAGGAUGAUCAGCCUCACUGGGACUGAGACACGGCCCAUACUCCUACGGGAGGCAGCAGUGGGGAAUAUUGGACAAUGGGCGCAAGCCUGAUCCAGCCAUGCCGCGUGGGUGAUGAAGGCCCUAGGGUUGUAAAGCCCUUUCGGCGGGGAAGAUAAUGACGGUACCCGCAGAAGAAGCCCCGGCUAACUUCGUGCCAGCAGCCGCGGUAAU
rnacentral:rRNA from 1 species